CAUUCUGUAACGUUAUCUUGGUCAGUAUCUUACAGACACAUUGUAAAAUCCGAAAUUACGCAGAAAGCAAAAGAAGAGCAAAUACCCAAUCUUUCUGUCUUUAUCUCUGCUUUCCUUUGUUCUUACUCAUUCCACCCACUUACUCACUCUUUUCAUCUUUCCUCCGACUCAACUCUCUCACCAAGUGAUGUUCACUCACUACUUAUUUGAUCAUUCCCUGCUAUCCAUUUCUUCACUUUUAUAUGCCCAAUUCAGCUGCAUAACGCCACAUGAACAUCACAAAAAUACACACUUUCUUCAGAUUGCCUUCCACUCAAAAUUCCUCU
rnacentral:lncRNA from 1 species